ensembl:lncRNA
UGUAGGAUCUAAAGAGAUAAGAGUUCAGCUUACUGGUGUGGCCCUCCCAGUUUCUCAUGUGCCCACCCCUGCUCAGAAGCGCCCUAAGGGGGAGAAAAGUGAUGAAUCUAAGGUCCCAUGACUGACAGGGACAGAAAGUAUUAACAUGUCACCAUCAACGUUUGCUUCACAAGGUGCACGUGCUCCAAGGUGAUGCUGAGAGCUGAUGUUUCACAAAAGAAAGACAGACAGAUGGAAAUGAAACUUAUACCAAAGUCCACAUGAGAGAAACUGCUUGACUUUUUUAAUAUUAGUUAGUUUACUUCAGUUCUAACAGAAAAUAAUGUGUUUCUGUUAUUUUAGCCAACAUGCACCUGCCUGCACCAAUUACAAAUGUGAAAUGUAAUACAUAUAUGUAUUACAUCACUUAUGUGCCAACGUGCUUCCAUGGUAUGAUUCAAUUCAAUUCAAUUUUAUUUAUAUAGCGCCAAAUCACAACAAAAGUCGCCUCAAGGCGCUUCAUAGAUACAGAGAAAAACCCAACAAUCAUAUGACCCCCUAUGAGCAGCACUUUGGUGACAGUGGGAAGGAAAAACUCCCUUUUAACAGGAAGAAACCUCCAGCAGAACCAGGCUCAGGGAGGGGCGGGGCCAUCUGCUGUGAUUGGUUGGGGUGAGAGAAGGAAGACAGGAUAAAGACAUGCUGUGGAAGAGAGACAGAGAUUAAUAACAGAUAUGAUUCAAUGCAGAGAGGUCUGUUAAUACAUAGUGAGUGAAGAAGAAACACCCAGUGCAUCAUGGGAAUCCCCGGCAGCCUACACCUAUUGCAGCAUAACUAAGGGAGGAUUCAGGGUCACCUGGUCCAGCCCUAACUAUAUGCUUUAGCAAAAAGGAAAGUUUGAAGCCUAAUCUUGAAAGUAGAGAUAGUGUCUGUCUCCUGAAUC